UUGGUCCACUGCGAUGUCUAUGGGUUCCUGAACAACAUCGCAAUUAGAAGUUAUCAACCUUCGUGGGAUAAAACGCACAAGCAAGAGGCGCAAAAUUGUUGCGAAGGGACACUCACUGUAUAGCUAAGCGCAAUGCCUCCAUAACGGCUAUACAAAAUUCAGAUCGUGCUCUAUAACGCACGUUUCUCGUGUUCAGUGCACGCUGUCCUUCAGUGUUCGCUACGAAUAUUCGUUGGAAAUUCUGAGGAAUCCAAAAUGCAUCUCGCCUGUCACCCUCGCUGUCACGUUGCCGGGGACAAAAAAAAAAAAAA